rnacentral:siRNA from 1 species
AACCCGUCCUAUCAUCUAACCC